UACCUGGUUGAUUCUGCCAGUAAUUAUAUACUUGUCUCAAAGAUUAAGCCAUGCAUGUUCAAGUAUAAGCAAUUUGUACCGUAAAACUGCAAAACUGCAAAUGGCUCAUUAAAUCAGUUAUUGUUUAUUUGAUAGUACCUUACUACUUGGAUAACUGUGGUAAUUCUAGAGCUAAUACAUGCUAAAAACCCCAACUUCAGGAGGGGUGUAUUUAUUAGAUAAAAACCAAUGCCCUCUGGGGCUCCUUGGUGAUUCAUGAUGACUUAACAAAUCACAUGGCCUUGUGCCAGCAAUAGUUCAUUCAAAUUUCUGCCCUAUCAACUUUUGAUGGUAGGAUAGUGGCCUACCAUGGUUUCAACAGGUAAUGGGGAAUUAGGGUUCUAUUCUGGAGAGGGAGCCUGAGAAACGGCUAUCAUAUCCAAGGAAGGCAGCAGGCGCGCAAAUUACCCAAUUCCAACACAGGGAGGUAGUGAUAAUAAAUACUGAUGUACGGCUCUUUUGGGUCUCGUAAUUGGAAUGAGUACAAUUUAAAUCCCUUAACAAAGAACAAUUAGAGGGCAAGUCUGGUGCCAGCAGCCACGGUAUUCCAGCUCCAAUAGCAUAUAUUAAAGUUGUUGCAGUUAAAAAGCUCGUAGUUGAACCUUGGGCCUGGCUGGCCGGUCCGCCUCACCGUAUGCACUGGUCCGGCCGGGCCUUUCCUUCUGGGGAGCCGCAUGCCCUUCACUGGAUGUGCCAGGGAACCAGGACUUUUACUUUGAAAAAAUUAGAGUGUUCAAAGCAGGCUUAUGCUCGGAUACAUUAGCAUGGAAUAAUCAAAUAGGACGUGGGGUUCUAUUUUGUUGGUUUCUAGGACCGCUGUAAUGAUUAAUAGGGACGGUUGGGGGCAUUAGUAUUCAAUUGUCAGAGGUGAAAUUCUUGAAUUUAUUGAAGACUAACUACUACAAAAGCAUUUGCCAAGGAUGUUUUCAUUAAUCAGCGAAUAAAAGUUAGGUGAGCAAAGACGAUCAGAUACCGUCAUAGUCUUAACCAUAAACUAUGUUGACUAGGGAUUGGGCAGUGUUAUCAUUUUGACCCGUUUGGCACCUUACAAGAAAUCAAAGUUUUUGGGUUCUGGGGGGAGUAUGGUCGUAAAGCUGAAACUUAAAGAAAUUGACAGAAGGGCACCACCAGGCGUGGAACCUGUGGCUUAAUUUGACUCAACACGGAAAAACUCACCAGGUCCAGACACAUUAAGGAUUGACAGAUUGAGAGCUCUUUCUUGAUUAUGUGGGUGGUGGUGCAUGGCCGUUCUUAGUUGGUGGAGUGAUUUGUCUGCUUAAUUGUAAUAACAAAUGAGACCUUAACCUGCUAAAUAGCCAGGCCCGCCCCGGCGGGUUGCCGGCUUCUUAGAGGGACUAUUGGCUCAAGCUGAUAGAAGUUUGAGGUAAUAACAGGUCUGUGAUAUCCUUAGAUGCUCUGGGCCGCACACGCGCUACACUGACAGAGCCAACGAGUCCACUCCCUUGGCCGGAAGGUCUGGAUAAUCUUGUUAAACUCUGUCGUGCUGGGGAUAGAGUAUUGCAAUUAUUGCUCUUUAACAAGGGAUGCCUAGUAAGCGCGAGUCAUCAGCUUGCAUUGAUUACAUCCCUGCCCUUUGUACACACCGCCCGUUGCUACUACCAAUUGAAUGGCUCAGUGAGGCCUCUGGACUGGCUUGGGGAGGUCAGCAACACCUACCCAGAGCCGGAAAGCGGGUCAAACUUGGCCUCCUAGAGGAAGUAAAAGUUGUAACAAGGUUUCCGUAGGUGAACCUGCGGAAGGAUCAUUA
rfam:Lasallia pustulata genome assembly, contig: scaffold1920_size9001